rnacentral:rRNA from 1 species
UCUUACUAUAAGGUAAGUUGGGAAAGAUUUAUCGCUAAAGGGUGGGGCUUUAUUGUAUCAGCUAGUUGGUGGGGUAAUGGCCUACCAAGGCUAUGACGCAUACCUGGUCUGAAAGGAUGAUCAGGCACACUGGAACUGAGACACGGUCCAGACUCCUACGGGAGGCAGCAGUGGGGAAUAUUGCACAAUGGAGGAAACUCUGAUGCAGCAACGCCGCGUGGAGGAUGACGCAUUUCGGUGUGUAAACUCCUUUUAUAGGGGAAGAUAAUGACGGUACCCUAUGAAUAAGCACCGGCUAACUCCGUGCCAGCAGCCGCGGUAAUACGGAGGGUGCAAGCGUUACUCGGAAUCACUGGGCGUAAAGGAUGCGUAGGCUGGAAAUCAAGUCGAGAGUGAAAUCCAACGGCUCAACCGUUGAACUGCUCUCGAAACUGGUUACCUAGAAUAUGGGAGAGGUAGAUGGAAUUAGUGGUGUAGGGGUAAAAUCCGUAGAUAUCACUAGGAAUACCGAUUGCGAAGGCGAUCUACUGGAACAUUAUGACG